rnacentral:misc_RNA from 1 species
GGAAGUACAAGUCGUAACAAGGUAUCCGUAGGUGAACCUGCGGAUGGAUCAUUACCAAAGAAGUCCUUUGACGUCUUGUGAAUCGUAUUUUUUGUCAGUGCGAUUUUUUUCGCCCUUCACAGGGUGCGAAUGGUCGUGCUGGCUAUUUAAACAACAAACGUAUACCCUUUAACCAGAGUCACUUUAGCCUAAAACUAAAGACAACUUUUAGCAACGGAUCUCUUGGUUCUG